UGUAACAUCUCAGUAACUACCCCUAAAAU
rnacentral:piRNA from 1 species